rnacentral:lncRNA from 1 species
UGUGUGGCUGUGAGCAACCUAAAGAACACCUUCUCCAAUCGUUGGACCAAAGGAGAUCAAGAUCAAAUUUGUUUAGUAAUGAUCUCUAAUUUAUUUUGAUUCCUAUGGUAGAUCUAAUAGUUAGAUCUAGAAUUUCAGUAUCGAUAAGAUCGAUGUGAUUUUAUUUUCAGAUCUAAAGUGCAUAUUUUCAUAUCAAAGAUUAUGAUGUGGUUGUUUAAGAUAGAAUCUUAUACAUGUG